GGGUAGCUCAGUUGGUUAGAGCAUGGUGCUGAUAAUACCAAGGUCACAGCUUCGAUCCCUGCAUGGGACA